UUUGAUUGAAAGAAACAGAAGUUUUCUAGAAUCGAAGUUUUGUUCAUUUAUCGAAAUUACUAGAGUACUGGAUUUCUUGUCAAGUACAAGGUUUUGUUUUCGAAAAUUAUUUGAUGUACUUUUUUUAUUUAAAGUGCUUCAAUCUACAUGAUUCAUUACCACUAUGAUUUAACUGAUUAUAGGUGUUUAAUUGCACUGAAGUUCAAAUACGAUAUUAUUUGUCCUGUUUUUAUAAUGAAUUUGUUUAUGGUUCUGGGUACUUUCUGGUUUAUUGAUUUUAACAGGGGAGAAAUUAAAUUGUUAGAAAUUAAAUACUGUCACGAGUAUUGGUCUCUCAUUGUUCAGGUUGCGGCAGAACCACAGAAUGCGGUCUGUGUUUUCCUUUUUCGUGUCAGCAAGGACCUAUGGUGUACUUGACAACCAAAAUUAUUCUUAUCCUUAGAUAGGUGGUUAUAAAUCAACAAGUUUUUACGUUUUUUCAAGUACAUGACACUCGAAGGGAGAAAUUCCUAGGGUGAAUUGGAUAGGAUAUUGUUUCGUAGAAAAACCUUUGACAUUGUUAUGAGAUAUCGUCAAGUGCGGUGAAGUUUAUAUUACUUCAGAAAAACGACAUACUCAUUUACAAUAAUGGAAUCACAGAUUACAAUAAUCAUACCCAAAUUUGGAUAUUACAAACUUCGUUCAACGUGAUGCAUGGGAAGCUCAAUUCAAGGAUUGGCAUCAUUUCAAGAAACAACCAUCAUUUGUACUCAUGGAAGUGCCUGUUUCAUGAGUACAAAGUCUUGAUUAAUUCAGGGAAAUGAAAAAUUUCUUAACUAUAAAUUAUAUUAGGUUUCAAAAAAUCAACUUUUUUAUUCUUGUGGUAAAUACAUGACUUGACUCCAAGCAGUCAACACAGUUAAGACAAGAUAGAACGAGGGAAACUGUGCUAUGAUGUUUCCGUCAUAUGGUCUCAUAUCGUUUGUCAUGUAGUCCGACUGGAAUCUCAGUCGAUGGCUCACCGCUCACUCAGACUCUAACUGAUUUUUUUUUAAUUGUAACUCUCUUUGAGUUAUCUGAUGCCUGAGAGUGGAUGGGCGGUAUUUUUGUUCAAUUUCAGAGUGAGUUCUGUGAUAUCCGGCGGCUUAUUCGGUGAGAGUGCCCGGCGCGAUACUAAAAGACCCGGGUUCCAUUCCCGGCUGGGUUAAAGGGGACAUUUUUUCUCUCUAAUUCUAAUUUUCUUCGUUUUUUUAUUGUCAUAAACGAUUUUACAAUUUUCAUGAUUGUGCAGAUCGGUCCACGUGUGAACAUGCAUAAAUUUUUCGAAAUGGGUAACAAUAAAUCGACGCAAACUAAUUUGGAUUGAUUCAGAAAGUAUUUCUGUGAUUUUAACUCGUUAUUCCUCUCAGUGUAGCUUUAGACGUAGUCUACGAAUUUAAUAAUUGACAGUUUCCAACAAAUGCCAUAUUUUAACAUGGUCCCAUGAAACCUCGUAUGUCUCAUCUAAUUUUCCAUCAAAUAAAAUGAACAUGCUCCUUCACUACAUUCUACCUCAUCUCUGUUGAACUAGUUCAUUAAUUUGCUCUUGAACUACUCAAUUAAUUAAUCCCAUCAAUUCAAUUACAGUAACUAGUUACGUUGAAUCCCUCGAUCUCCGCUUCUUCCCUAAUUAGAUCACCAGCAGAGAUCAGAACAAACAGUUAACAAGUAAAGUUUCCAUUGAGUCCCACAAAUUUCGUUUUUUUCCUUCUUUUUAAAGAGAGCUUGAACCGAAUGAGUAAGAAUAAUGGGGCCCCUCACCAAUUUAUUAUUUUGCUGAUUGCGUCUCAUAUAAAAAGAAACAUUUGGUAUCUCUCCUUCAUGGACUUUCUCAAGACGUGCCAUCCGCCAGUGGCGAUAAACCCAUUCGAAACCAAGAGAAACUGUGUAAACUAUUUAUAAGUGCCAGUCUCGAGGAUUUUUGUGGAUGUUUAAAUUUAGCCGGUCGAGUCUGUGAGAGCACCGGGUGUGUGCCCACGACACCGAGACGUAUUUUCCAAGACCCUCGACGGAUAUCAGACGUGGCGUACCAGCCCAUUUCGAUUUUCAUCGGGUAGUAUUUUAUAAAUAAUUUGUUUUUUUAUUUUCAUUUAACCGAACAUUUCUCAUGUCUGGAAAAAUGCAUGGUUGAAUGUUCGUGGUCGAUUUGUGGUGUUUGCGAUCGGUGUGUCUUGGACCAUUGCCAAAGUGACUAUCACUCUACGAUUUGAUACACGAAUGACUGAAUAAUCAUUAAAUUCACUUCAUAUUAAUUGAUCUAUCGAGUACUGACUUUGUUGUAUCAUUUUGUUGUCAACUCUCGGAGUGAAUUGGAGUGCAGUUUCUUUAUGUGUGUUGGGGGACUCCCAAAGUCGUAGUAAGUAGUGCAGUUCAUUGUGAUCAUUGUUACCAAGUGUAAAAAAAACAACCAUGAUGGAAGGAAUGCGGACGAAUGGAUGUGCUAAUGAACGACAAGACCUCGAUCCCAUCCUGGAGGAAGACGAUAAGAACCAUCCUAAAGACUCGCCGUCAGAGUCUUCUGAUGCCACAUCGACUGUGAAACGUUGGGACUGCCGUUGGACACCUUCGGAGGCGUACGACUCAGAUGGAACAUCUUCGACGUCUGAACAGGGAUUUACUGAGGAUUACUCCAGAGAAAUGACUGAUGGUCUUUCAGUAUCAUCCAUUAGACAUCAUGAUGCGUGUCGGUCGCAGGGGUGUCUCUGUCAGAACUGUUUACUGGGUUAUGCUAGAUCACUUGCCCUUCACCAGAACAUACCGAGCAUCUGCACAGCAGCGAGUAUUCCUCAUAUGCCUUCUCAUCCUCAAUUACCUGUUAAACACUGCAUCAACACAUCACUCGGGUACAAUUUUGAGGAUUCUUGCGAUUAUCGAAAUGUCAAUCAUCACUCGCAACAGCAACAAUUGGGGAAGAGUCAGCCAACGAUCAAGGAUCAGAUGUCCCGCAUCAGCUCAAAGACAUCCAGCACAGUAUCACUGUCAUUGGAUAGAAGACGAAGAAAACUGAGAAAUAGGAGUGAUAGAGAUCAAAGGGCUAGAUCACAGAGCGAUCUUCUUUACUGUGAUCAUGACAGGUCAAUGCCUCCACAUUACUGCUCGCUCCAGCAGUUUCAGUGUCAUUAUGGCAGUAAUCCUUACAUGAAUUACUACAAUAAUAAUACCGAGGAGAGAUUGAGGAAACUUGAGAAUGAAAGGGCCGGCCUACACAUGGAGGUAUCAGUAUUAUCUGAACAAGUAGAUGCACAAUCGAGUAAAAUUGUGGAACUCGAGAAUAUUCUUCAGGAGAAGAAGGAUGCUAUGAGACAAAUGGAGGAUGUUCUUCAAAAGGAGGUAUUAUCUCGAAGUGCUCUAGAAACUCAAAAGCUCGAACUUUUAACAUCUUUAUCAGAGAUGAAACUGCGGCAAGCCAGCUUGGAGCACGAAAAUGUGGCGCUUCGAACAGCAACCUCAAUCACAAACGGUGAAAAGUUCAGCAGACACGCGGGACAAUAUAGCAGCCUUCCAAGGCCUCCUACAUCAGUGAAGAAAGGCGUUGCUUUUGGUAAGGUUUCUCAUCAAAUAUCGGGUGCUCAAACUACGGUACCACUUGCAGUCAGAGGAAACUCAGCCAGAUGUUUAUCUGCGCCAGCUCUAGCUGAGGAAGAGAGAAUCGUGAUUUCUGAAGCAUUAGCUCGUGCCGAAGUGCCUCCUCCAAAGCCUUUGAACGACCUGUCAAUGGAGGAAGUGGAAGAGUGGUUAGCGAGACUGGGUCUAGAAGCUUAUGCACCUGAACUACGACGAUGGGGAGCUACGGGCGCUAAGCUACUCGAUGUUACAGUACAUCAAAUAGAAAAGGAGCUUGAUAUUAAGAACAGCCUUCAUAGAAAAAAAUUAUUGUAUGCUAUCGAGUGCGAGAGGUGCAAUGGAGUUGGAUUUCUGGGAUCUGAAAAGAUGGAUAAUGCAGCAGUUCUUCGUUGGCUCGAUGACGUUGGUCUACCCCAGCAUAAGGAAGCCUUUCAUAAUGCCAAAGUAGACGGUCGUGUUCUCCACAGACUAACCACUGAAGACUUAUUGACCCUCGGUGUAGCAGCUCAGCUUCAUGCAGCAAGUUUGCGUCGUGGAAUACAAGUGCUUCGAGAAUUGAAUUUUGAAUUUGACAAUUUAGAGAGGAGAUCAAUUAGUGGUAAUGGAGCUGAUGGCAGUAAUGUUGCAUUGUGGACCAAUCACAGAGUGAUGGAGUGGUUGAGGGUCGUCGACCUUGCUGAGUAUGCCCCUAAUAUGAGGGGAUCUGGGGUCCACGGGGGACUGAUCAUUCAUGAGGGAAGAUUUACCUCUGAACUCUUGGCCACGCUCCUCAGCAUUCCACCGGCUAAGACAUUAUUGCGUAGACAUUUAACCACUCAUUUUAAUCAAAUUCUUGGGAGGGAAGUUGUACAGCAUAAAAGGGAGAUGGAGACCACUCUUGGAUUUGUGCCAUUGACACUGACAGCUCGAUUGAAGGUACCAAAGAAAUCUCAAUUCACCCUAAAACGAAAAAAAAGCAAGAGUGAGAUUGAUUAUGGCAAUUUGGUAUGUCCCUUGGAACCAUCACCACCAGGUACACCAUCGACACCCUCAUCAACUCCAGGAAGCCCUAAUCUCAACUCACCCACAAUCUAACAAUAAUUAUUCACGCCAUUUAUCAGCUAGACGAAUUUCAUCUCAAACGAACUAACUCCAUUUAGAAAUAGUGGAGCACAGGAAAAUCAUUGGCUGCAUAUAAGAGUUAUCUGAAUACAAUGAAGUAGGAAAUACUGAAAUUACUCGAAUUUAUUCCUAUUCAGUGCACAAUAGGAGAUCGUAGACUUUUUCUUAGACAUAUGGGACCAUAUUAUUGGCAAAGCAAAAUUAAAUAGUGAACUAGUGUUUCUCGAUCGAUGAAUCUUUUUACUGAAUCAUAAAUUGAAUAUAUAAAAGUUCUUGGGAUAUGAUAAUCAGUUACCAAUAUACAAUAUUCAUUUUGUGCGUGACAAUAUAUAGUAAUUGAAAGGCCAAUAAGAUUCACACACAAUUCAUUGCCUAAAAUGUUUGACUGACCUCAAAUAAUUUCAAUGUAGAAGUGUGUGUUUUUAAUACCUAUAUAGACAUAAAUUCAUUGUAGAUGUUUAUUACAAUCAUGAGUGCCUACAAGAGUGUAUUUUAGUUUAUUACAUUCGACAAUACUAAUUAUUUUAAUUAGUUUUCGUUAAUUUUUUGACGACGAUAUGAGAUAAUUACUCCCUUUUCAACGUUUAAGAAAAUCAAAGAGAAGAAUUUAUUAUUUUUUAGCUUUUUUGUGUUUAUCCCAUUGAGAGAUGUAAAAAUUCAUUACUUUAAUUUAGUUUUCUUUUAUAUAUAUUUUGCAAAAGAAACUCUUCAGUCAUUGUCAAUCAAAUGUAUUGCUCGCUUUCAAAAUAUAUCGUUGGAAAUUGUAAA